rnacentral:lncRNA from 8 species
AGGGGGGUGGCCAGUCCUCUUCUGGCUGUGCCGGUGGAGAGGAACCAGGCUAUGAGGGGUGGCCAGUCCUCUUCUGGCUGUGCCGGGUGGAGAGGAACCAGGCUAUGAGGGGGGGCCAGUCCUCUUCUGGCUGUGCCGGGUGGAUAUUAUAACAGGAAAAAGAUGCCACCAGAUCAGAAACAGACCAGAACAGACCGUCAGACUGACUGAUUCCCAGAUCAAUAGCUGUGGCUCUGCUUAUGUAGACUACUGCAGUCAGAGUGGUCAAAGCCUGUUGCAACAUUAUAAUCCAUCUCUGGCUGAACACACGUGGUGUUAUUCUAUCUCCACAAAGCACAUUGGCCUCUGAAGACCUGAAAGUGAUCUAGACAAAGAUACACAAAGACAUCAUUAAAAAGGUAAGCAAUGAUAGUGUGCUAUUAAUUAUUCUAUCAAUGGCAGGAAGUGAUGGAAUGUUUUGAAAGCAGUAUGAAAAUGUAUUUUUGUAAUUAUUCAGGUUUUCAUAGACUCAAACGUGGCUUGUUUAAAGUAUUAAAAACUGUAGCAGAUUAAAUGAGAUUACCAAACUCAUUGUAAAGGAUUCCCGAUUGGUUGCUAAGAAUUCCAAACCAGAAGGCUUAGCUCCCAUGUCACAUCCUGUAUGGGCUGAACCUAAUCCAAACAGGGAUGACAAGUGUACCAUAUCUAUGACUACAUGACUGUGAAAUAUGACGACUCAGCAUAUUCACCUUGACCCAGAGGACAGACAGGACACUAAAUAAUUAGACUCAUGGCUAAUUAGACUCUUGCUCUCACCCACCUUUUGACCUCCUCCUUUUCCGCAGCAACCAAUGAUCCGGGUCACGGCACCAAUGUAACAGUGUAGGUUCCGUCCCUCUCAUCGCCCCAACCCCGGGCUCGAACCAGGGACCCUCUGCACACAUCAACAACUGACACCCCACGAAGCAUCGUUACCCAUCGCGCCACAAAAGCCGCGGCCCUUGCAACGCAAGGGGAAACCCUACUUCAGGUCUCAGAGCGAGUGACGUCACUGAUUGAAAUGCUAUUAGCGCGCACCACCGCUAACUGACUAGCCAUUUCACAUCGGUUACACCUAAUCAGCCUGUUACCAACCCUUAGUAAACUAAAAUUGUGUUUGACCAGAUACAAUGCCAUUUCACAGUAAACAAAUUGACAAUAGACUUUCAGCACGCUUAUAGGGAAGAACGUUCAACAAGCACACCACUUACAGAUAUCACUGAUGAUUGGCUGAGAUUAUUUAUCUAUUUUUUGUCGUCAGACUUCAUCGCGGCUUUUGACAUUAUCGAUUAUAGUAUGAUGCUUGAAAAACGUAUGUGUUAUGGCUUUACACCCCCUGCUAUAAUGGCUUUACACCCCCUGCUAUAAUGGCUUUACACCCCCUGCUAUAAUGGCUUUACACCCCCUGCUAUAAUGGCUUUACACCCCCUGCUAUAAUGGCUUUACACCCCCUGCUAUAAUGGCUUUACACCCCCUUCUAUAAUGUGGAUAAAGAGUUACCUUUCUAACAGAAGUCCUAUAGAACAGACUGUAGAGAAU